rnacentral:rRNA from 1 species
UUAUCGGAGAGUUUGAUCCUGGCUCAGGACGAACGCUGGCGGCGUGCCUAAUACAUGCAAGUCGAGCGGACAGAUGGGAGCUUGCUCCCUGAUGUUAGCGGCGGACGGGUGAGUAACACGUGGGUAACCUGCCUGUAAGACUGGGAUAACUCCGGGAAACCGGGGCUAAUACCGGAUGCUUGUUUGGACCGCAUGGUUCAAACAUAAAAGGUGGCUUCGGCUGCCACUUACAGAUGGACCCGC